GAUCGCAGCGAUGACUUGGUGAAAUCCAAGCUCAACAGACCGGAAUGCAGGAUUUUCUCUUGCGAGAAAAUUUUGCGGGUC